rnacentral:rRNA from 1 species
GGGCCCGCACAAGCAGUGGAGCAUGUGGUUUAAUUCGAUGCAACGCGAAGAACCUUACCAGGCCUUGACAUCCUCGGAACUUUCUAGAGAUAGAUUGGUGCCUUCGGGAACCGAGUGACAGGUGCUGCAUGGCUGUCGUCAGCUCGUGUCGUGAGAUGUUGGGUUAAGUCCCGUAACGAGCGCAACCCUUGUCCUUAGUUGCCAGCACAUUAUGGUGGGAACUCUAAGGAGACUGCCGGUGACAAACCGGAGGAAGGAGAGGAUGACGUCAAGUCAUCAUGGCCCUUACGGCCUGGGCUACACACGUGCUACAAUGGCCGGUACAGAGGGCAGCCACACCGCAAGGUGGAGCGAA